rnacentral:rRNA from 1 species
CCUACGGGUGGCAGCAGUGGGGAAUAUUGCACGAUGGGGGAAACCCUGAUGCAGCGACGCCGCGUGAGUGAAGAAGUAUUUCGGUAUGUAAAGCUCUAUCAGCAGGGAAGAAAAUGACGGUACCUGAUUAUGAAGCCACGGCUAACUCCGUGCCAGCAGCCGCGGUAAGACGGAGGGUGCAAGCGUGGUCCGGAAUCAUGGGGCGUAAAGAGUUCGUAGGCGGCAUGUAAAGUCAGGUGUUAAAGGCGCAGGCUCAACCUGUGUAUGGCACUUGAUACUUGCAAGCUGGAAUGCGGUAGAGGUAGGGGGAAUUCCUGGUGUAGCGGUGAAAUGCUUAGAUAUCAGGAGGAACAUCGGUGGCGUAGGCGCUUUACUGGUCCGUAAUUGACGCUGAGGAACGAAAGCCAGGGUAGCAAAUGGGAUUAGAUACCCUAGUAGUC